rnacentral:piRNA from 1 species
UGAGUAUUGAAAGCCAGUUGGAGAUGC